rnacentral:rRNA from 1 species
AGAGGGGGCAAGCGUUAUUCGGAAUUAUUGGGCGUAAAGGGCGCGUAGGCGGCUUUUCAAGUGACGGGUGAAAUCCCUCGGCUUAACCGAGGAACUGCCUGUCAGACUGGAAGGCUUGAGACCGGGAGAGGUGAGUGGAAUUCCCAGUGUAGCGGUGAAAUGCGUAGAUAUUGGGAGGAACACCAGUGGCGAAGGCGGCUCACUGGACCGGAACUGACGCUGAGGCGCGAAAGCGUGGGGAGCAAACAGGAUUAGAUACCCUGGUAGUCCACGCCGUAAACGAUAAGUGCUUGGUGUAGCGGGUAUCGACCCCUGCUGUGCCGAAGUCAACACAUUAAGCACUCCGCCUGGGGAGUACGGUCGCAAGACUG